AGAGUUUGAUUAUGGCUCAGGAUUAACGCUGGCGGCGUGCCUAACACAUGCAAGUCGAACGGAAUAUCUUCGGAUAUUUAGUGGCGAACGGGUGAGUAAUGUACAGGUAAUGUACCUUCGUACUGCGAAUAACAAGCUGAAAAGUUUGCUAAUACGGAAUAGUUUCCUUCGAGGGCAUCCUUAAAGGAAUAAAGAUUUAUCGUGCGGAGAUCAGCCUGUAUCCUAUUAGUUAGUUGGUGGGGUAAUGGCCUACCAAGACGACGAUGGGUAACUGGUCUGAGAGGAUGAGCAGUCACAUUGGAACUGAGAAACGGUCCAAACUCCUACGGGAGGCAGCAGUGAGGAAUUUUGCGCAAUGGGGGAAACCCUGACGCAGCCAACGCCGCGUGAGUGAUGACGGCCUUCGGGUUGUAAAGCUCUGUCGUGUGUGACGAGUAGGGACGGUAACACACAAGGAAGCCUCGGCUAACUACGUGCCAGCAGCCGC
rnacentral:rRNA from 1 species